rnacentral:rRNA from 1 species
UACGGAGGGAGCUAGCGUUGUUCGGAAUUACUGGGCGUAAAGCGCACGUAGGCGGCGAUUCAAGUCAGAGGUGAAAGCCCGGGGCUCAACCCCGGAACUGCCUUUGAGACUGGAUUGCUUGAAUCCGGGAGAGGUGAGUGGAAUUCCGAGUGUAGAGGUGAAAUUCGUAGAUAUUCGGAAGAACACCAGUGGCGAAGGCGGCUCACUGGACCGGCAUUGACGCUGAGGUGCGAAAGCGUGGGGAGCAAACAGG